rnacentral:piRNA from 1 species
GUCCAGCCUUCAGCCGAUUUGUAUAGUGAGC